UACGUAGGGGGCUAGCGUUGUCCGGAUUUAUUGGGCGUAAAGAGCUCGUAGGCGGCUGUUCAAGUCGAACGUGAAAACUCGGAGCUCAACUCCGAGCCUGCGUUCGAGACUGGAUGGCUAGAGUCUGGUAGGGGGGAUCUGGAAUUCCUGGUGUAGCGGUGGAAUGCGCAGAUAUCAGGAGGAACACCGGUGGCGAAGGCGGGAUCCUGGGCCAGUACUGACGCUGAGGCGCGAAAGCCAGGGGAGCAAACGGG
rnacentral:rRNA from 1 species